rnacentral:rRNA from 1 species
AUUGAACGCUGGCGGCAGGCCUACCACAUGCAAGUCGAGCGGAGCGGCGGACGGGUGAGUAAUGAUUAGGACUCUGCCUGGUAGUGGGGGAUAACGUCCGGAAACGGGCGCUAAUACCGCAUACUAUCAGAUGAGCCUAUGGCGGAUUAGCUAGUUGGGGGGGUAAAGGACUACCAAGGCGACGAUCCGUAACUGGUCUGAGAGGAUGAUCAGUCACACUGGAACUGAGACACGGUCCAGAAUCCUACGGGAGGCAGCAGUGGGGAAUAUUGGACAAGGGGCGAAAGCCUGAUCCAGCCAGGCCGCGUGUGUGAAGAAGGUCUUCGGAUUGUAAAGCACUUUAAGUUGGGAGGCGGUACCAACAGAAUAAGCACCGGCUAACUUCGUGCCAGCAGCCGCGGUAAUUC